UACGGAGGGUGCAAGCGUUAUCCGGAUUCACUGGGUUUAAAGGGUGCGUAGGUGGCUUUGUAAGUCAGUGGUGAAAGCCCGGAGCUCAACUCCGGAACUGCCAUUGAUACUGCUUAGCUUGAAUCACGUCGAGGUGGAUGGAAUAAUACAUGUAGCGGUGAAAUGCUUAGAUAUGUAUUAGAACACCGAUUGCGAAGGCAGUUCACUAGGCGUGUAUUGACACUGAGGCACGAAAGCGUGGGGAUCGAAACAGG
rnacentral:rRNA from 1 species